AACGAACGCUGGCGGCAUGCCUAACACAUGCAAGUCGAACGAGACCUUCGGGUCUAGUGGCGCACGGGUGCGUAACGCGUGGGAACCUGCCUUUAGGUUCGGAAUAACUCAGAGAAAUUUGAGCUAAUACCGGAUGAUGUCUUCGGACCAAAGAUUUAUCGCCUUUAGAUGGGCCCGCGUUGGAUUAGCUAGUUGGGGGGGUAAAGGCCUACCAAGGCGACGAUCCAUAGCUGGUCUGAGAGGAUGAUCAGCCACACUGGGACUGAGACACGGCCCAGACUCCUACGGGAGGCAGCAGUGGGGAAUAUUGGACAAUGGGCGAAAGCCUGAUCCAGCAAUGCCGCGUGUGUGAUGAAGGCCUUAGGGUUGUAAAGCUCUUUUACCCGAGAUGAUAAUGACAGUAACGGGAGAAUAAGCUCCGGCUAACUACGUG
rnacentral:rRNA from 1 species